GAUGAACGCUAGCGGCAGGCUUAACACAUGCAAGUCAGGGGUAACAUAGAAAAGCUUGCUUUUCUGAUGACGACCGGCGCACGGGUGCGUAACGCGUAUACAACCUACCUUUUAGCGGGGAAUAGCCCAGGGAAACUUGGAUUAAUGCCCCAUAGUAUAUAGACUUCUCCUGAAGUUUAUAUUAAACAUUUAUGGCUAUUAGAUGGGUAUGCGUCCUAUUAGUUAGUUGGUAAGGUAACGGCUUACCAAGGCAGCGAUAGGUAGGGGUCCUGAGAGGGAGAUCCCCACACUGGUACUGAGACACGGACCAGACUCCUACGGGAGGCAGCAGUGAGGAAUAUUGGACAAUGGGCGAGAGCCUGAUCCAGCCAUGCCGCGUGCAGGAAGACUGCCCUAUGGGUUGUAAACUGCUUUUACAGAGGAAGAACCACCCCCACGUGUGGGGGUUUGACGGUACUCUGCGAAUAAGGAUCGGCUAACUCCGUG
rnacentral:rRNA from 1 species